rnacentral:snRNA from 1 species
GUGCUCACAUAGUCCUCACAUUCUAAAAUUGGAAUGAUACAGAUUAGCACUGUCCUUGUGCAAGAAUGACACACAUGUUCAUGAAGCAUUAAUGGAUGUU